AUAUUUAUCUAAUAUUAUAUCUAUCUUUUUAUAUCUAUAUCUAUAUCUACCUGAUAUUAAAGAGACAAAAUUUAUCUCUACUUAGUUCGUCUUUCAUAACUAACUCUAUAAAUAUGGAAACCGUCUCGACUCGUGUGUCUACAGCUCUUCUAUUUUAUAUAUGACAUAUAAGACUUCUUGAGAUCAUCAAGAUAUAUAGAAAUCCUAACCUAAAUAGAUCUUUCCAAUUUAAGUAACCUGAAUAGAAAUUCUAAUUCGAAUCCUUUUUAAAUAUUUUUUGCUCUUUUAUUUAUUACUAGCAAAUAUGCACGUUCGUUGCAACGGGAGAAAAGAAAGUACCAAAAAUUUAUGAAAAACAAGGACCAAAAUAAUACAUAUCUCUUUAUAUUUUUCUAUUUGUAUAAAAUUUCGUCUAUAAUUGUGCUUGAAAAGAUAUUUAUUAGACUAAACUGAGCGACUAACUUCAGAUUUUAGUCCACAGUUUGAUCGAUUGAACC
rnacentral:lncRNA from 1 species